AACGCACAUUGCGCCCUUUGGCAUUCCGAAGGGCAUACCUGUUCGAGCGUCAUUUCAACCCUCAAGCCUUGCUUGGUGUUGGGCGUUUUGUCCCGCCGCGUGCGCGGACUCGCCUCAAAAGAAUCGGCGUCUGCAUGUGGGCCUGAUGCGUAGUAAAAUUCGCAGACCAGGCUGGCGUGCUGGCGGCCGGAACGCAUAUAUCUUUUUGUUUGACCUCGGAUCAGGUAGGGAUACCCGCUGAACUUAA
rnacentral:misc_RNA from 1 species